rnacentral:lncRNA from 1 species
GGGAGACUACUUACAACCAGCAAUUCUAAUUCUAAAAGCCCUGAUAAGGUUUCAGCUUCCACUGUUAGCACUACCACUUUUACACCAAUGAUACCAAUUAAACAAACUUCUUUAUCCCUAGCAUAAAAAUAUAGGGACUAAAAAUAAAUCUGUUACAAAAUAUGCAUUUUGUUUAUAUAUAUUUACAUAGACCUCAGAUAUGCAUAUAGGCAGUACCAGAAGGAUAAAGCCAUCUGAUGCAGAAGAUCAGCAAAGCAAUCUGUAGGCUCCACAGGGACCAGAAAAGAAAUAUUUUUAUGGGGGCAAACAACAUUAUGCAAGACAUGCGUGUGCUUUAGUUUGUGAAACAGUUGCAUAAGUUGUGUAUCCAGAGAGACUGGCAGCCGUUGGCCCUGCACACAAAAGAAAAAAUCUCUCCUCUAUGUAUUUAUUAAGAUUUCAAAGCUCAGGGCUACAUCCCUCCUUCUUCAGGAUUUAACUGACUUCUUCUGCCCUUGCACCUCUUCUCUUCUCAAAACACAUGAUGUGUCAGCAAAUGGCCGAAGCAGCAAUCGGCAGAGACUACGUGAAAGGACUGAUCAGCAGGCACUCCUCGUCCCCGUGUUAGGUGGGGGAAGGGAGCAACAUCCGGCUGAUUUAGUGACUGGCUGGGGAAAACCGGCUUUGACUGGGGAAAGGAUCUGUUUGGGGGGGGAGGGAGAAAGGGGAAGGGUUAAGGAAGGAGCAUCUGUCGAGCUGAACAGGCAGUCCUGGAAAAGUGG